UUUCACUGUUCUACGAAGAGUCUCUUUGUUCCGUGCUUAUGUCAUAUGUCAUCGGAAUAUAGUCCAUUUCAAAUUGUUCUGACGAAAGAGGCUGGUUCCUAGUGUGGAAAUUCAUAUUGACCAGAUUCAAGUUAGUCAGAGAACUUAUAGGUGAGGCUAAUGACCCGGAGGUAAACAAUCUAAAAGCAAGUCGUGGUCGAAUCAAAAAACCUAGAAGAUACUAGGAAUCUAUUUCAAGAUGAAUAUACGCUGUGCAAAACCUGAAGAUCUCAUGAACAUGCAGCACUGUAAUUUACUGUGCUUACCAGAAAAUUAUCAGAUGAAAUAUUACUUUUAUCACGGACUCAGUUGGCCCCAACUGAGCUAUGUAGCAGAAGAUGAAAAAGGCAAUAUUGUUGGAUAUGUUCUCGCCAAAAUGGAAGAGGAUCAAGAAGACCUGAAGCAUGGACACAUAACCUCUUUGGCAGUAAAAAGAUCUCAUCGCCGACUGGGUUUAGCACAAAAACUUAUGGACCAGGCCUCGGAAGCUAUGGUAGAAUGUUUUGAUGCAAAAUAUGUCUCCUUGCAUGUGAGGAAGAGUAACCGAGCUGCCUUGAAUUUGUAUAAAAAUUCUUUGAAAUUUGAAACUGUGGAAAUAGAACCCAAGUAUUAUGCUGAUGGUGAAGAUGCCUAUUCCAUGAGAAGGGACCUUUCAGAGUUCUCAAGGAAAAACAAAUUGAAGUCUGAUGAGAAGAGUGAGGAAUAGAUCAUAUUCAAAAUUAUAUUGAAUGGUAAAUCAUUUUAAACAUGAAAUUUCAUGCUACUCUUGCUUCAGAUGGUAGUAGUACUGUUAGUAGUACUUGUAAAAAAUAUUAAAAUCAGUAUGUAAAUAAGGUUUCAUCAGUGAAAUUGUUUUUUAUUUUGAGAUUUUUUGUUGGUUUUGUUUAGUUAUUACAUCUUGUGAAUUUUUCUUAAUAAAAUUACAUGAGUCGGUCUAGAA
rnacentral:misc_RNA from 1 species